CCUCCUGCUGAAGAUGAGAGAUGGCUCUGGGGAGAUUCCACUCUGUAAUUCAUUUAAGCAGGAUAAACAGAGCUCCCGCUCUGGAAGAUUCGGCCCUGAGCGAAAGGCACUUGGAAUCUAGGCUGGGAGCUCAGAUGUCCGUGUGAAACAGAAGAAAAUCCCCGAGCCAGGCGACAUGAGAUGCAGCCACUCUGACCCCAAAAAAGCCGCGGAACCUGAUGAACACCUUUCUUUGGCCAGUGACGCCAUGAUGUCCCCUUGUCCCCAUCAUUGGAUUAGAAAGUGUUCGGUACAAGUGCCCUUGCUCACCCCACAGGAUAUAAUUCCAUGCAGGUAAGAGAUUUUCCGUUUAGUCCUUGCUGUGUCCCCUGCACAGUGCCUCACCAUAGCAGGUAGUUAAUAAGUAUUUGUUGAAUGAAUGAACCUCUGUCUCAGGCAGGCAUCCCUGGAAAGUUCUGGCAUUACCUGUCAAGAGCUGAGUGGGGAAACUGCCUUUUUGGAAUGAUGCCACUCAUGACUUGGCAGAGACCACCUUGAGCCCUGAUCUUAGCAGAACAUACUCACUGACCCACAGAAGUUACAGGUGAAAAAGACUAAGGGGAAAUGCUAUCAGAAAAUGUCAAGUUGGAUAUUUCUAAGCUACACCCAGGGUAAAGCUCCUUCUAUACCCAUUUCCUAUAUCCUGCUUAUCACCCGAAUUCAUCCCUGUGUUGCCCUAUGGACUUUUAGAGUCUGAGUGACUUGGUGUGAUGCUAAAGUGAUGGGGAACUAUUUUGUAGUUUGACUUUGAUAUAUGGAGUUAUCUUUGACUGGAAUCAGUUGGACUGUAAGUGAGAGAAGCCUAGCUAGAAAAUGUAAUAAAAUGAAUAACACACAAUCUCACAGGCAUUCAGCACUAGAACACUGGUAUCAUCUGGCCAUUGGGCUCUGGACCAGGAAACAAAGAACCGGGGCUCCUCCCUCCUCCUCUCCUGCCCUGGGUCUCUGUGCCUUGGCUCUGUUCUCCCACUGCUCUCCAUAGAGCAGCUUCUGCUGUUUCCUGUGGUUGACCCCUCAUGACUUCAACUGGUAUAUGACUGACUCCAGCUCUCUGACUGCAUAUGACUUUGGGUCCCUCAAUAAGCCCACUCAGUCUGUCUCUAAAUGUAAAUGGCUACUCAGUCUGUCUCUUGGGAGAAGGAUUGG